CCGGUUUCCGGUUCCGUGCUUCAAUAGAGGCCGCUGGGUGUUAAUGGUGCGGCUAGCUGCACGGCGGUUCAGCUUUGUUCCAGUUACUUUCAGUUGCCUGGGAGUGUUUCGCAACGGAAAGAAAAGGGUCAAAAACAAUUUCUGUUGUGACACUGUCUACCCCCAGGAGCUGUAGGCCAAAAGGCCGAGAGGCCUGACUUUCCCUCUUUUCGAGUGUGUUUCUGUGCACCGUGUGCUGUGUGACCACCGACAGAAAUUUCACUGAGCACUGAGUGAGUGUGUUGUGAUUGAGCACAUGCAUGGUGUGGAUAUUUAAACCUACUUCUGUUUCAGCCUGUCCUGUGCCGAUCAGCUGCAGCCCUGCAUGAGCUUUUGAUUUUCCUUUUUUUUUUUUGUUUAUUCUGAAACUUUUAUUUUACGGGUUGUUAAUAAAUUAAAUUCUAUUUUUGUA